UACGAAGGGUGCAAGCGUUAGUCGGAAUUACUGGGCGUAAAGCGUGCGUAGGUGGUUUCUUAAGUCCGUUGUGAAAGCCCCGGGCUCAACCUGGGAAUGGCAGUGGAUACUGAGAGGCUAGAGUGUGUCAGAGGAUGGUGGAAUUCCCGGUGUAGCGGUGAAAUGCGUAGAGAUCGGGAGGAACAUCAGUGGCGAAGGCGACUUCCUGGCCUGUUCUUGACGCUGAGGCGCGAAAGCUAGGGGAGCAAACGGG
rnacentral:rRNA from 1 species